UUAUAGAAAGUCAUAAAUCAAAGCAAGUUUAAAAUGCAUUGGUAGGUACACCAGAGGCAGGUACAAUGAGAUGGUAUGUGUGCGAGUGUACGUGGAUGUGUGUGUGUGUGUGUGUGUGUGUGUGUGUGUGUGUUAGGUACCUAUCCCAACCCGCGGGGCCUAGUUAUUCAGGGGAUCAAAGGGGACCAAGCCUGAAAGAGAAACGGGUGAGAAAAGGGAGCAAGACCAAGCAAAGGGUUGUCAAGGUCUACUUUAAUGGAAGCUGAAAGCCUGAUUAUAAGCACACAGUGAGAGGAAAUAGGGAGGGGCUGAGGGGGAAUGAUCAAAGCACAGAGAGAGGGACCAACAUCUGGGGCAGAUGCUGAGUGCAGGCUUGAAACAUUUUGUGGCUUAUCUUUGGAUGCUGGAUCCACCCAAACAGCCCCAGGUGUCUGGCCAGGACAAGGGUCAGUUGGUUCUCAUGAUCAGCUGAUCAGCCUUGUGUGAAGGAGGGGUGGCUUGGCUCCCAACAAAGGGUCAAUUGAUUCUCAGGGUGGGAGCUGUUGAAGGUCUGGUUUCCCACAGUCUGGUCUCCUACAGGUACCUAAGGGAGACAGAAAAGGCACUGGAACCCUGGAUCUGUAGCUGGGGUUGUGGGUGGUUUCGAGCUGCCCUGUGCGCGCUGGAACUGAGCCAGGGUCCUCUGCAAGAAAAGCAAGUGCUCUGAACCACCAACUCCUUCCUCUCUCUGGACCUGUCUUUCUUUCCUUCUUUUUAAAAAUGACUUAUUUAUUUUUAUUUUACGCUCAUUGGUGUGUUUGCCUGUAUAUAUGUCCUUGGGAGGGUGUAGGAUCCCUUAGAACUGGAGUUACAGACAGUUGUUGUAAGCUCCCGUGUGCGUGCUGGGUAUUGAGUUUGAGUCUUCUGGAGAUAUAUAGUCAGUGCUCUUAACUGCUGAGCCACCUCUCCAGCCUUCCAUCUUUCCUUUGAUAAGCGACUUUAUAGGGUAGCUGUCGAGGUGCCUCAGAUGGAAUUACACAGAUAAAGUCAAACCAGAAGCUAGUAGAGUGGCUGGAAGGCCUUAGAACAUGUCCUGUCCUUAUAACAGUUUUUCUCGUGAGAUCUGUAGAACAAAUAGGUUUAUGGUUGGGCAGGGAGAAGGGGCUAAGAAGUUGCUAACUUUUCUGGAAUUCUUGCUUUUCUGCUGGCAAGUGGCUUCAACUAGAUACCUUGAUAAGGAUUCCUGUCCCCUGAUCAAUCAUGUUACCUUCACUUUCCCAGUAUAUUUCUUUCCUUUCUUCUUCUUCUUCUUCUUCUUCUCCUUCUUCUUCUUCUUCUUCUUCUUCUUCUUCUUCUUCUUCUUCUUCUUCUUCUUUUUUUGAGACAGGUUUUCUCUGUAUAGCCCUGGCUGUCCUGGAACUCACUUUGUAGACCAGGCUGGCCUUGAAAUCCACCUGCUUCUGCCUCCCAAGUGCUGGGAUUAAAGGCAUGUACCACCAUAGCCAGGAUUUUCUUUCUUUCUUUCUUUCUCUUUCCUUUCCUUUCCUUUCCUUUCCUUUCCUUUCCUUUCCUUUCCUUUUCUUUCUUCUUCUUUUUUGUUUUUGUUUUGUUUUGUUUUGUUUUGUUUUGUUUUGUUUUGUUUUGCUUUGCUUUGUUUUUUGAGACAGGGUUUCUCUUUAUAGCCCUGGCUGUCCUGGAACUCACUGUGUAGGCCAGGCUGGCUUUGAAAUCAGAGAUCCCCCUGCCUCUGCCUCUCAAGUGCUGGUUUUGAAGGUGUUUGUCACCACACUGGAUCUCCCUUGGGCAAUCUUAGUGGCUUCCAAUUUUUGCUUUUUUGGAUCAUAAUCUCCUCUAAGACAUCUUUGGGACCACCCUAUAUUCUCAGAGUGAGGGGAGGGGAAGAAAGAGAAGGAAAAAGAACAGUUUCUUGGCAAACUUUUGAAAUGUAACCUAAGAGCCACCAAAAUGAUACAUAAGGCUGGGACAAUAAGCCAUCACUCUCUCCUGGGUAGCAUACACCCAGUACAUGUUUCUUCCUGGGCACUUGUCUUUUUGAACACUUCAAGCCUAUGUUGAAAAACAUUUAAUAUAAUUUCCAACCCUGCUUCAAGCCAGUUAUGUCUGAAAUUUUUUUCUGGUAUAGGAAUCCUGGCUUGGCCUGAGUUGAAGUCUCUAAAAGAUUAGAAGUUCUCAGGCUGCUGAGGGUGACAAUUCGGCACUGUCCCCUCAUUUAGGAUAUACUGACCAGGAAAUGGAAAUAAGGCACCUCUAUGAACUUUAGCAGCUGCCUCAGAAAUUUAAUUUUAGUAUGCGUGGGACCAUCUUCCUCAGCUAUAUGUGGUAGGGCUGUGUUCAUCCUGUUUGGCUCGACACAGACCUCUGAUAGAUUAACCACCUUGCUUGGUUAUUGUAAGUGGGGCACAGUGUAACCACUGAACUGGAUCACUCUCAGGCAGGUUAUUGUAAAUGUGAAUCUCCCAUGUGGCCAUCUCUCCAGGCAAUAGAGACUAGCCAUAGACAUUUUAGAGAGUCGAAAGCUGCCAAGGCUCUCCGUUAGGGGUUGGAGGGUGGGCAGGAUUUGCUGUUUUUAAAGAGAAAGGUGUGUAGGGAGGGCUUGGAAUCUGGAGCAAGCAGAAGUUUAUGGUAGAGGGGAGGAGAAAGUGUACAGGUCAAAAGAGCCUGGUGGCUUUCAUAUCCAUCGCAGGUGUACGCUAUUAGUGUUGAUAUGGCCCUAAGGAGCCUGGAGGUCCUGUGUUGCUUUCGUGCCUAUUACAUGUAUAUGCUAAUGGAGAACCAUUUGCAUGGAAGCCUUCAGGGAGAGAUAAGAAGCAUUUAACUCUUCCUGACAGAUGGAAACGUGUUUCACAGGUUCCUGAGGAAUGCUGAAUGGAGGCGCUUCUAUCCCUUCCAGCAAUCCUUCUGUUUACCCUGUCAGAAUUCAGCCUGAGAUGAGCCCAGUGCCAUUCUGGGACACAGUCAGUGGCACUGCCAUUUUGGAUAGUUUGGGGGUUCCCUUUGGACCUAACAGUUGUGUCGUUGCUACAAACACCACAAACCUGUUACUAGUUGAUGAGGCUCUUUUCACACAGAUUUCCUGUCUGUAAUAUAAAAAGGCUCAGAGAACCACUCCUACAUCUGGUUAGAUGUGAGACACCUGGGUAUUUAAACUGGCACCGUUUCUGCAGGCAUGCUGCAAUAAUAGUGCCCUGCCUACAAAAACAAGUAGAACCUUCAUUAAGUUUCCAGAAAAGGUGAAGCAAAUAUUUUGAUACCUGCCUUUAAGGAUUCUGGCAAGCAAAGGAAAACACCCACAUUGCUGAAUGAUAGCAUGGAUCUGAAAGACAUAAUCUCUUUUAUUUCGAUUCUUUCUGAUUCAGACCCAAAAUGAGUCCCCAUUCACAGGAUAGAGUAGACAUGUCACAGGAAACUAGCCAAGGCGGGACAAAUCUCCUGUUACUGUGGGAAUAAAGUGGCUGCAGCAGCUCACUCACACGGUAACAAUGGCAUCUCCUGGGAUUUUAUUGGGCUCCAUACUUAAUCUCCCUGCCCUAUGUCCACCCUUUCUUUUCCAGUCUCUUCUGUCUUUGGUUUUUAUUAAGAGUCAGAGUGUUUUGGAAUUCAUUCGAGGUUGUUACUUCAUGAAGAGAGUGCCUGGUGGCAUCCUGGUCUUAGGGUUUGACUUAGAAUCUACCACCCAGAUCUACACAGGACUCGUCCUGUCUUCCUUCCCUUUCUCCCCGUUCCUCCUCUUCCUUCCCCUGUCCUUCCUCCCCUCCUUCUUCCCUUCUCCUCCUCUUACUCCUCCUUCUCUCUUCUCAUUUGUUUUCUUCUUGUCCUUUGAGGCUGGCCUGGACUUCCCUUUGUAGCAGAGGCUGACCUUAGCCUGAAUCCUCCUGCUCCUACUUCACACAUGCUAAGACUGCAGUCAUGCCCUAGGUCCUUCCUGUAAGAGGUGCUGGGGGAAUCCCACCCAGGGCUUCUUGUGUACUAAGAAAGCACUCUCCUAAUUGAACCUCAUCCCCACCACCCUGAAUUUAUUUCUCUUUUCCAUUUGAAUAUUUUUCAUCUGUUUGCUGUGUUACCAGUAUUGAGGUAGAAUCCAGUCUUGUAAAUAUUAGGCAAGUGCUCUACCCCUGAGCUGCAUGCCCUGUCCCCUCCUUCUCUUCUUCCUCCUCUUCUCCCUCCUCUUCCUCAUUUUAUUUUUAAACACUGAAAAUGCAGAUAAAUAGAAUGAGGCCAAAUAAGAAGAUUUGAGAAUGUACACAUUACUCUGCUCUGUAGAGGCAGUAUCUCUGCAGAGUCUACAGAAAGAUAGCAAAAUGUCUUCAAAGUUGUGCCAGAAACCUUUGGAGCUGAGGUGUGCUUAGCCAGGCGAAGAUACUCCAUUCCCUGAGCUCCUGCGUCUCUCUUGUCCCAAAUAGCAUGAAACUAGGCCGGAGCAAGGAAGGUUGGCUUUGGAGGUUAGUGACAACAUGCUCCGUCAAAACCAGGAACGCAGAGCCUCCGAGAUGGACGGGCAGGAGUAGGUCCCUGCAGACAGGCUGGACCAUCUGGUUUCUAUUUCUGAAACUCACAAGGUAGACGGAGAAACUUGACUUCCAAAAGCUGUCCUCUGAUCUCUAUAAGGACACCGUGGGGCACACACACACACACACACACACACACACACACACAAAUCAAAGAAAUGGAGAUGAAGAAAAUCCAUAUUUGGUACAGAUCUUAUAUUUAGACAUAGCAAAUUUAUUGGCCAACUUGUUUAUUUAUACGAAUUGUAGGUAAUGUCACUAAAAUCCACUAUGCUUGCUUCCUUUUCUAUAAUCACAUCCCAGCCAUCAACUAAGGGAACACUGGCUUCUGGCCCUUUUCAUUUGUAGACAGUAGAUUUAAACCUUUGUACCCUACUGUUCAACUCAAAGGGAGCAAAUAACCUUGGCUACAGUUGCCGCGGAAGAAAGACUCUACCUCUUUGCUUUUAUACUAAGCUUUAGAAAACGUUAUGUAGAAAGGAGGAACACCCCCCCCCCUUUUGCCUGGGUUACAGACACCAUAACGCAGAGUUGGGCCGGCUCUGCGGAAACAAUGAGUCACUGAUGCCGAGGCCCAGGUGGCGUACGAAUGAGCUCUGCAGCCACUUUAACCCCUGCAGGCCCCUACUCGGCAGAGCCGCAGUGCGCACGCAGCCUGGGCUUCCAGCCUGCAGACGUCCUGGUCAGAGCAGGAGGAGCCCUGUAAGCAGGCGUGAUGUGUACACUUGAUAGAACUGCGUUGUCCUUGUGCUGACAUCAUGUCUGUGUCCCUAUAUCUCCACCUCCACCCCCACCCCCAUGCUGGCUGUUAAGGUUGUUUCAGAUCUGAAGCUCUGCGAAGCCGAACAAAAUCCAUCUGUCUUUGCUGCAGCCACACACGCUCCUCUAAGAACUCUUACGUCAUGCAGGAUGGGGGAGUCCACAGGUGGAGAAUAGAAGCCCACUGCUGCUGUCGUUUGCGUCCCUGGAGCUGAUGAGCCUGGGUUUGUUUUCAGAUGUUUGAAGCCACGCAUGUAACUUUUUCUUGAGAAAUAACUGGUGCAAGCCCUUCACAUACUUAUCGGUGGAAUCUUCUCUUGCUGGCUGUAAUGAUUUCUUCAGAUAUUACGAUUAUUAAUUCCAUUUCGUAUUGUUAAUAAAUGGGCUCUUUAGUGUUGCAUA